GACGAACGCUGGCGGCGUGCUUAACACAUGCAAGUCGAACGGAAAGGCCCUGCUUUUGUGGGGUGCUCGAGUGGCGAACGGGUGAGUAACACGUGAGUAACCUGCCCUUGACUUUGGGAUAACUUCAGGAAACUGGGGCUAAUACCGGAUAGGAGCUCCUGCUGCAUGGUGGGGGUUGGAAAGUUUCGGCGGUUGGGGAUGGACUCGCGGCUUAUCAGCUUGUUGGUGGGGUAGUGGCUUACCAAGGCUUUGACGGGUAGCCGGCCUGAGAGGGUGACCGGCCACAUUGGGACUGAGAGACGGCCCAGACUGCUACGGGAGGCAGCAGGGGGGAAUAUGGCACAAUGGGCGGAAGCCUGAUGCAGCAACGCCGCGUGCGGGAUGACGGCCUUCGGGUUGUAAACCGCUUUCGCCUGUGACGAAGCGUGAGUGACGGUAAUGGGUAAAGAAGCACCGGCUAACUACGUG
rnacentral:rRNA from 1 species